rnacentral:rRNA from 1 species
UAGUGGCGGACGGGUGAGUAACGCGUGAGCAAUCUGCCUUACAGAGGGGGAUAACAGCUGGAAACGGCUGCUAAUACCGCAUGAUAUGCACCGGGGACAUCCUCAGAGCAUCAAAGAUUUAUCGCUGUAAGAUGAGCUCGCGUCCAAUUAGAUAGUUGGCGGGGUAAAGGCCCACCAAGUCGACGAUUGGUAGCCGGACUGAGAGGUUGAACGGCCACAUUGGGACUGAGAUACGGCCCAGACUCCUACGGGAGGCAGCAGUGGGGGAUAUUGCACAAUGGGGGAAACCCUGAUGCAGCAACGCCGCGUGAAGGAAGAAGGUCUUCGGAUUGUAAACUUUUGUCUUGCGGGACGAAUAAUGACGGUACCGCAGGAGGAAGCCACGGCUAACUACGUGCCAGCAGCCGCGGUAAUACGUAGGUGGCGAGCGUUGUCCGGAAUUACUGGGUGUAAAGGGUGCGUAGGCGGAUUUGCAAGUCAGGUGUGAAAACUAUCGGCUUAACCGGUAGCCUGCACUUGAAACUGUAAGUCUUGAGUGGUGAAGAGGUAAGCGGAAUUCCUAGUGUAGCGGUGAAAUGCGUAGAUAUUAGGAGGAACACCAGUGGCGAAGGCGGCUUACUGGGCACUAACUGACGCUGAGGCACGAAAGCAUGGGGAGCAAACAGGAUUAGAUACCCUGGUAGUCCAUGCCGUAAACGAUGAUUACUAGGUGUAGGGGGUAUCGACCCCCCCUGUGCCGCAGUUAACACAAUAAGUAAUCCACCUGGGGAGUACGGCCGCAAGGUUGAAACUCAAAGGAAUUGACGGGGGCCCGCACAAGCAGUGGAGUAUGUGGUUUAAUUCGAAGCAACGCGAAGAACCUUACCAGGUCUUGACAUCCAACUAACGAGGCAGAGAUGCGUUAGGUGCCCUUCGGGGAAAGUUGAGACAGGUGGUGCAUGGUUGUCGUCAGCUCGUGUCGUGAGAUGUUGGGUUAAGUCCCGCAACGAGCGCAACCCUUAUUGUUAGUUGCUACGCAAGAGCACUCUAACGAGACUGCCGUUGACAAAACGGAGGAAGGUGGGGACGACGUCAAAUCAUCAUGCCCUUUAUGACCUGGGCUACACACGUACUACAAUGGCGAUCAACAGAGGGAUGCAAGACCGCGAGGUGGAGCUAACCCCUAAAAGUCGUCUCAGUUCGGAUUGCAGGCUGCAACUCGCCUGCAUGAAGUCGGAAUUGCUAGUAAUCGCGGAUCAUCAUGCCGCGGUGAAUACGUUCCCGGGCCUUGUACACACCGCCCGUCUCACCAUGAGAGUUGGGAACACCCGAAGCCUGUGAGCUAACCGCAAGG